AUAUAAGAGCUCGUCCUGCGGGCGUCCGGCACUCGAGAGAGACAUCUGCUGAGAGAAGAUUCAGUUAUCUGAAAGCACGCCAUCCACCAUGUCAUACUCCGGACGCACCAGGGACGCUCGCUUCAACGUGUCUAAUGUGUGCAAGGACAAGGCCGAUAUGAAGGCCGAGGAACUGUGUGACGAGAAGAAGGACCAGGAAGUCCAAGACGCGACCGAGGGUGACACAACCUCCGUUGGCGUCGAGGGCAACGAGGGGGACACUGAGACCUCCUCGCUGCAUUCGAGUAAUUAGGAUCCGACUGCACUCUGCGGACGUCAGGAUUUUACACAUUUUCUCACCACCUCAACCAGGGGCCAAAAACAGAUUAGACUCUUCACCACACCUUAGUUUUAUCAAGAAGUAAUAAGAGUCCUUCUCCAAACCUCUACUUACGUCAUGGUGUACAAGUGAUCUUUCGCUCACUACACUCUACGUCGAAAAUUGAAUUGGAUCUGUCACUCGCCACGCUCAGGAGUGAAUAGUAUUAAUUCUCACCUCAAACUACCGAUGGCCAUAUGUAGGUUAGGAUCUGUCUCUCAUUGCAUGCCCAGGAAACAGAGAGAAUCAUUUUAUUUGAGGGUAUGCGUGCCCAAAAGUGAUCCCAGGCCAAUUUUCGACUAUACGUUUAUCAAAUGUUUUUUUCCAAUUUAAACCUUUGUCUAUGGAAUGGACAUCGAUAUAUUCAUGUUAAUGCACUCUAUCUCAUGAUUGUAGUGCAAUAAAAUGAAGAUACUGAUGUUCAUGUCUGUAGAUAAAAGCUUGAAUUUAAAAAUAUUCGAUAAACCCCAUUGGUCUGAUAACACCUUUGGACCCGUACGAAUUAACAACAGAUAUCGAUGUGUAUAGGCGAAAGCUUCUCUUAACAAAACAUCUAAUAAAAGCGAUUGAUUUGAAACCACACUUGGACGCGCAUACCUUCAUUCGCUCUUCAUCGUCUCGACUGUAAGCACAACGGCACAGAUGUGGACACUAAUAAAACAAAAGAUUAA